UGAUCCACCUGCCUCAGCCUCCCAAAGUGCUGGGAUUACAGGCAUGAGCCACUGCACCCGGCUGAAAACAUUAAGAGUAGGUGGAUGUUACUUUGGACAGCAAAUGAAGAAGGGUGCCGAGCUGAAAGAGAAAAGGAGAAGAAAAUGGACAUGACAUUUACGGGGUUCCUCUUGCAGAGAGAGAACCGUGUAGAAGAACGAGGCAGCGAGAGGCCAGAUUCUGCCGGAGGCAGAGCAGAGAGCCAAACCAUCGCCACUUACUGGUGCAUGAACCUGGGCAAGGCAGGGGGCAUCCCUGAGCCUCAGCUUCCUCGUUUGCAAAAUGGUGACAUGCCUACUUCCCAGGGCUGUUGUUAAGGUUAAAUGAUGACACAGUUUACCAUAUGCCAGGCACAUAGUAGGCACUAAAUAGUUGCAAUUAUUAGCCCUGAGCAAACAUUGCUCAGCCAUUCCCUUGUAAAGCCUAUUCUCAAACCAACUUUCCAUGUGGACGUUCAAUCAUCUUUCUGGAUGACCUCGCCUUACCCAUUGCCUCAGAUUCUGUGUGUGUGUGUAUAGAAGAAACAAAGAAAAAAAGUGCUUUUCACAUAGUGAGGACAUUUCCCCAUCCUAUGAGUCUGUGUAUGUGUGUGCAUAUGUAUAUGUAUGUACACACACACACACACACACACAAACACACUGCCCCGUGGAAUAGGCAGGACGGGGUUGCAUUUCCCCCCUUUUAAAGGUGAGGAUGCUGAGCCUCAGAAAGAUCAAGUGACCUGAACAAAGUCACACAGCCAAUGUGUUUCUCCAAAAGAAAUGACCAGGAGUCAGUGUUUCUUUAUACAAGGGUGUCCAAUCUUUUGGCUUCUCGGCCACACUGGAAGAAGAAUUGUCUUGGGCCACACAUAAAGUACACUAGCACUAAUGAUAGCUGAUGAGCUAAAAAAUAAAAAUCACACACAAAAAACAAUGUUUUAAGAAAGUUUACAAAUUUGUGUUGGGCUACAUUCAAAACCGUCCUGGGCCAUGGGUUGGACAAGCUUGCU
rnacentral:lncRNA from 1 species